GUUAGCUCUAAGCAGUUAAGUUUCUAUUCGUUCCUGAAUGAAUUAUUUUAAUUGUCAUGAGUGGCGGUUUGCAAAUGUAAAAAUAAGUGAAAUGAUCUGUAAUGUGCGUCUGAUGCUAAUAGAAAAAGGACGUUGCAUGUAGAAGUUCUAAAGAACGUAUUGACGACGGACGUAAUUUAUACGAGUAUGAACCCGUAGGUGUUGCCAUUGUACCAUUUAUAAUGUCUCAGAUAAUGAGACGAAAUAUUUGGUAAUUAAUAAUUGAAUUUGAGCAAUACCAACAUCAAAACAAUUUAAUUUUGCA